GCUGGCGGCAGGCCUAACACAUGCAAGUCGAGCGGAUGAAGGGAGCUUGCUCCCGGAUUUAGCGGCGGACGGGUGAGUAAUGCCUAGGAAUCUGCCUGGUAGUGGGGGACAACGACUCGAAAGGGUCGCUAAUACCGCAUACGUCCUACGGGAGAAAGUGGGGGAUCUUCGGACCUCACGCUAUCAGAUGAGCCUAGGUCGGAUUAGCUAGUAGGUGAGGUAAUGGCUCACCUAGGCAACGAUCCGUAACUGGUCUGAGAGGAUGAUCAGUCACACUGGAACUGAGACACGGUCCAGACUCCUACGGGAGGCAGCAGUGGGGAAUAUUGGACAAUGGGCGAAAGCCUGAUCCAGCCAUGCCGCGUGUGUGAAGAAGGUCUUUGGAUUGUAAAGCACUUUAAGUUGGGAGGAAGGGUUGUA
rnacentral:rRNA from 1 species